GUCGGCUAAGUGAAAGUGAAGUGUGUGCAGUGAUUUGUUAGAGCUCCUUAUGUUUUAUCAUCAUUACCCGACUACUAUGGAGCUUCUUCUGGGUCUGCUGGGUCUGCUGGGUCUGGGUCUUCUGGGGAGAACACUUUGUGAUGAAAACGUUGCUGCAGAGCCAGACAUCACGUUAUGAUGCCACAGAUGAAGGAGUGUUGCUGCAGUGUGGGUUCGAGGUGCUGCUCCGAAACUUAAAGUAGAGUGGCAGGACAGAGAUGGAACCAACUUCCUGCUAAAGAACUACAGGUCCCAGAAAGAGGAGACAGAGACCACAUCACUCUCCAGGACUACUGUGACCCAGACCGGCUACUGUCGCUGUGUCGUCACACAGGAGGAAACCAACCGUAGGACUCAUGCUGAGAUUUAUGUGGUUAUUAUGUCUCGUGGACCAAACUAAGUACUAGAGCUGGAAUUCUUGUUGGAGUUGGAGUUGGAGUUGCAGCAACAGCUUUUCUUUUACAAAAGAACAUCAAGAACAUCAAGAACAAGUCCAAAGACAAAGAAGCAUCAGCCGCUAAAUAACCCGACACACAACAGCCCCACAGAGGAAACCUGAAACAAAGAAGAAAUCAGACAAAGGUUUUAGGUCACACAGAGAUUCCUUUGUAUUGCUGAACUGACGAUUGAAGUCAUAAUAAUACAGUUCAUUCAUGGUGACCUUUCAUGUCACUCAAGGUCACUUUACAGCAGUUAACCCUCGUGUUGUCUUCCCAUCGACCAUUGACCAUGUACGUUUUUAAUUUUCUGGGUCAUAAUUCUUUUUUUAAAUGUCACUUUUUCCAUUUUUGUCACUUUUUUCCAUUUUUUUUGUCACAAACAUUCAAUGUUAUUUUUGAAGUUUUUGUAAAUUUUUCUACAAUUGUUUUGACGUUUUUGUUGUUUUUUUUCCAACAUUUUCUUUCACUUUUUAAUCAUGAAAAGGGUGUAAUCUGAGGGAAUAUGCUAAUCUAAAGAAUGUAUUUUAAGAUGAGAUUUGAAGGUGGAGAGAGAGUUAACUCUUACAGAUGGUUUUCAGGACAAACUGGGCCAUUAGAAUAUUUUUGCUGCAGUGAGGUCACUUCAAUGUUAAAAAUGGUUGUAAGACCUUAAAGACAAAUACAUAAGUAAAACGGAACAUGAAUCUUUCAGAUAUGUAUUGAUAUCACAGACAGAGCAGUAAAAACACGUCUCAUAUGUCUCGGGAGUCACACUGUGAAGAAAUAAUCAUCAUAACUUAUACAGUUGACAAAAUACAUGCAUGUUGUCAAAGAAAGUCCAGACGCUUUUGCCCUUAUGACAUUUACUUAUGCCAAUAAUAACAAUCCAAUUAAUUUAAAUGUUUUAAAUUUUUUUAUCUCAUAUAAUGACGAAACUUUUUAAAGUAAAAUGUAUUGAAUUUAAUGCAAUUAUUUUGAAGCCCUAUAUUAUUUUUAUUUUGAUCAAUUAUUUAUAUGAAUUAUUUGAAAUACUUCAUCAAUAAUACUCAUUUAAACAAAUGGAUAUAGUAGUACUAGAGAAUUGCUAAAAAAUGAAAUGUAAAGUUAUGAAGUGGGGUCAGUGUACAAGAUAAAACAUUUAAAUUAAGAUAA